rnacentral:rRNA from 1 species
AGGAAUAUUGGUCAAUGGACGAGAGUCUGAACCAGCCAAGUAGCGUGCAGGAAGACGGCCCUAUGGGUUGUAAACUGCUUUUAUAAGGGAAUAAAGUUAGUCUCGUGAGACUUUUUGCAUGUACCUUAUGAAUAAGGACCGGCUAAUUCCGUGCCAGCAGCCGCGGUAAUACGGAAGGUCCGGGCGUUAUCCGGAUUUAUUGGGUUUAAAGGGAGCGUAGGCCGGAGAUUAAGCGUGUUGUGAAAUGUAGACGCUCAACGUCUGCACUGCAGCGCGAACUGGUUUCCUUGAGUACGCACAAAGUGGGCGGAAUUCGUGGUGUAGCGGUGAAAUGCUUAGAUAUCACGAAGAACUCCGAUUGCGAAGGCAGCUCACUGGAGCGCAACUGACGCUGAAGCUCGAAAGUGCGGGUAUCGAACAGGAUUAGAUACCCUGGUAGUCCGCACGGUAAACGAUGGAUGCCCGCUGUUGGUCUGAAUAGGUCAGCGGCCAAGCGAAAGCAUUAAGCAUCCCACCUGGGGAGUACGCCGGCAACGGUGAAACUCAAAGGAAUUGACGGGGGCCCGCACAAGCGGAGGAACAUGUGGUUUAAUUCGAUGAUACGCGAGGAACCUUACCCGGGCUUGAAUUGCAGAGGAAGGAUUUGGAGACAAUGACGCCCUUCGGGGUCUCUGUGAAGGUGCUGCAUGGUUGUCGUCAGCUCGUGCCGUGAGGUGUCGGCUUAAGUGCCAUAACGAGCGCAACCCCUCUCCUUAGUUGCCAUCAGGUUAAGCUGGGCACUCUGGGGACACUGCCACCGUAAGGUGUGAGGAAGGUGGGGAUGACGUCAAAUCAGCACGGCCCUUACGUCCGGGGCUACACACGUGUUACAAUGGCAGGUACAGAGAGACGGUCCUUUGCAAAACGGAUCAAAUCCUUAAAGCCUGUCUCAGUUCGGACUGGGGUCUGCAACCCGACCCCACGAAGCUGGAUUCGCUAGUAAUCGCGCAUCAGCCAUGGCGCGGUGAAUACGUUCCCG